AAGGGUGAAGUAUAAAUUUCUUACAUUUCAGUUACAUUGAAAAAAUCCUCUUGAUAAGGCUCCCUUA
rnacentral:tRNA from 1 species